rnacentral:rRNA from 1 species
AUUGAACGCUGGCGGCAGGCCUAACACAUGCAAGUCGAGCGGAUGAAGGGAGCUGGCUCCUGGAUUCAGCGGAGGACGGGUGAGUAAUGCCUAGGAAUCUGCCUGGUAGUGGGGGAUAACGUCGGGAGACGGGCGCUAAUACCGAAUACGUCCUGAGGGGGAAAGUGGGGGAUCUUCGGACCCGACGCUAUCAGAUGAGCCUAGGGCGGAUUAGCUAGUUGGUGGGGUAAAGGCCUACCAAGGCGAUGAUCGGUAACUGGUCUGAGAGGAUGAUGAGUCACACUGGGACUGAGAGACGGUCCAGACUCCUACGGGAGGCCGCAGUGGGGACUAUUGGCCACUGGGCGGAAGCUUGAUCCAGCCAUGCCGCGUGUGUGCAGCAGGUCUUCGGAUUGUAAAGCACUUUAAGUUGGGAGGACGGGCAGUAAGUUAAUACCUUGCUGUUUUGACGUUACCAACAGAAUAAGCACCGGCUAACUUCGUG